CAGGUGCCACAGCCCAUCGGGGUUUUGGGGUCUCAGGGGGGCUGUGCUGACCCCAAGCGCUCUCGGGUGCAGGUGCCACAGCCCGCGGGGGUCCGGGGUGCCCAGCCGGGUGCUGGGGCUGGAGCUGCACCUGCCGGGCCAGGAGCUGAUCGUGGCCUUCGCCGGGUGCCUCCUGCGGCUGCCCCUGAGCCGCUGCGGCCGCCACGGCUCCUGCCGAGGGAGCUGCCUGGCUGCCCGAGACCCCUAUUGUGUCUGGCUGCCCUCCAGGGGCUGCGUCCCCUUCUCCGAGGACCUUCCGAGUGGCUUCCAGCAGGACAUGGAGGGAUCGCUCGGGAUCAGCGGGACCUGCCAAGGUGAAGUGGGGGAACACGGGGGACACUGGGGAUGUUUGGGGAUUUCUGGGGGGAUGCAGGUGGCACUGGGGUGGCUCUGGCACACGUGGGUGAUGCCAGAGGAUGGGGAGGACGUGGAGGGGACAUUGGUGGCUCCAAGGGACGUGGAGGGGCCUGGCCUGACCCUGCUCUGCUCUCACAGGGCCUACAAGGGUUGGUGACGAGGAUGGAGACCUGGCCCACGGAGUGCGGCACCCCGGGCCCGGUGCCGAAGCGACGGUUCCGGUGCCGGUGCUCGUGGGCUGCGUGCUGGGCGCCUUCGCCGUGGGCGCCCUGGCCACCGGGCUGCUGGCCACCUGCUGCCAGCGCCCCGCCGUCCCCAAAGCGCCCCCGGAUCCUCCCUGCGCCCCCCGGAGCCCGAGCCAGCCGCCCGUGCCCCGCCUGUACCCCGCGCUGCCGCCGCAGGACGGGAGCGGCCCCGGCCCCGAGCCCGAGCCCCCCGCGCUGCCCCCGGCCCGCGCCCCCCGGGAGCGGGAGCCCCGGCGCGGCCCCGCGGAGCCCCCCGGGCCGGGCCCGCCGGGCAGGGCGGUUCGCGAGGAGACGCUGCAGCGGCUGCCCGGGGGCUCGGCGUGGCCCGGGACCCCCCCGGGCAGCGGCUCCUUCGCCAACCGGGUGCUGCCCCGCGGCCCCGCGGCCCCGUUGGGCCCCCACGACCGCGCCCCGGUGCGCCUGGACGUGCCCCCCGACAGCCCCCCGGCCCCGCGGCGGCCGCUGGCGCAGAGCUACUCGCUGGGGGGGACCCCCGUGA
rnacentral:lncRNA from 1 species